rnacentral:rRNA from 1 species
UGGGGAAUAUUGCACAAUGGGCGCAAGCCUGAUGCAGCCAUGCCGCGUGUGUGAAGAAGGCCUUCGGGUUGUAAAGCACUUUCAGCGGGGAGGAAGGCGGUGAGGUUAAUAACCUUAUCGAUUGACGUUACCCGCAGAAGAAGCACCGGCUAACUCCGUGCCAGCAGCCGCGGUAAUACGGAGGGUGCAAGCGUUAAUCGGAAUUACUGGGCGUAAAGCGCACGCAGGCGGUCUGUCAAGUCGGAUGUGAAAUCCCCGGGCUCAACCUGGGAACUGCAUUCGAAACUGGCAGGCUAGAGUCUUGUAGAGGGGGGUAGAAUUCCAGGUGUAGCGGUGAAAUGCGUAGAGAUCUGGAGGAAUACCGGUGGCGAAGGCGGCCCCCUGGACAAAGACUGACGCUCAGGUGCGAAAGCGUGGGGAGCAAACAGG